UACGUAGGGGGCGAGCGUUGUCCGGAUUUAUUGGGCGUAAAGAGCUCGUAGGCGGUUCGAUAAGUCAGGUGUAAAAACUCCAGGCCCAACUUGGAGAGGCCACCUGAUACUGUCGUGACUAGAGUCCGGUAGAGGAGCACGGAAUUCCUGGUGUAGCGGUGAAAUGACGCAGAUAUCAGGAGGAACACCGGUGGCGAAGGCGGGUCUCUGGGCAAUAACUGACGCUGAGGAGCGAAAGCGUGGGGAGCGAACAGG
rnacentral:rRNA from 1 species